rnacentral:rRNA from 1 species
AGUGAACGCUGGCGGUAGGCCUAACACAUGCAAGUCGAACGGCAGCACAGUAAGAGCUUGCUCUUACGGGUGGCGAGUGGCGGACGGGUGAGGAAUACAUCGGAAUCUACCUUUUCGUGGGGGAUAACGUAGGGAAACUUACGCUAAUACCGCAUACGACCUACGGGUGAAAGCAGGGGAUCUUCGGACCUUGCGCGAUUGAAUGAGCCGAUGUCGGAUUAGCUAGUUGGCGGGGUAAAGGCCCACCAAGGCGACGAUCCGUAGCUGGUCUGAGAGGAUGAUCAGCCACACUGGAACUGAGACACGGUCCAGACUCCUACGGGAGGCAGCAGUGGGGAAUAUUGGACAAUGGGCGCAAGCCUGAUCCAGCCAUACCGCGUGGGUGAAGAAGGCCUUCGGGUUGUAAAGCCCUUUUGUUGGGAAAGAAAAGCAGCAGGUUAAUACCCCGCUGUUCUGACGGUACCCAAAGAAUAAGUACCGGCUAACUUCGUG